AGUGAACGCUGGCGGUAGGCCUAACACAUGCAAGUCGAACGGCAGCACAGUAAGAGCUUGCUCUUACGGGUGGCGAGUGGCGGACGGGUGAGGAAUACAUCGGAAUCUACUUUUUCGUGGGGGAUAACGUAGGGAAUAUUACGGUAAUACCGCAUACGACCUACGGGUGAAAGCAGGGGAUCUUCGGACCUUGCGCGAUUGUAUGAGGCGAUGUCGGAUUAGUUAGUUGGCGGGGUAAAGGCCUACCAAGCCGACGAUCCGUAGCUGGUCUGAGAGGAUGAUCAGCCACACUGGAACUGAGACACGGUCCAGACUCCUACGGGAGGCAGCAGUGGGGAAUAUUGGACAAUGGGCGAAAGCCUGAUCCAGCCAUACCGCGUGUGUGAAGAAGGCCUUCGGGUUGUAAAGCCCUUUUGUUGGGAAAGAAAAGCAGCAGGUUAAUACCCCGCUGUUCUGACGGUACCCAAAGAAUAAGCACCGGCUAACUUCGUG
rnacentral:rRNA from 1 species